AAGAAGGUUUGGCAAGAGUGGAGAGUAUUUGGUGGGUCAGAUUGUGAAGCCUAGAAUGCUUAGUGGCCGUUGUUAGUUUGCUCUCCAUGAUGUUGAUGUCUCCCUACUUAGUUUUGUUUAAUUAAUGGAAAGCUCCUGUGAGUGGUUCUAAGAAGCGCAAUACCCAACAGAUAAGCAUUCGUGGUGCAUCUUUUUCAGUUGCGGUUACAGUAGUUCCCAAGAUUUCUAUUGAAUA